rnacentral:misc_RNA from 1 species
UACUCUCACACUCUCCAAUCCUUUGGAUUGGGAGUGGUGGACUUGGGUGUUGCUGUUACUGUUACUGCGCGGCUCACCUCAAAUGCAUUAGUGCAACUCCUGGUUGGACAUAGUACGGCGUGAUAAGUGUCUUCGCCGGCGCCUUGAAAGAGGGUGGCUGAUCGGGAGCUCUGUGCUUUCAAACCGUCCUUGCAAGGACAAUGACUGACA